rnacentral:ribozyme from 1 species
GCGCUAUUUGAAGAUAAGCGGCCCGGUCCUCAAUCUUCCCUAGACCUCGUACAUUACUACUGAUCAUACUGUUCCUUAGCAUUGAUUGAUUCCUUCCCUAUGCAUACUCUAAAAUU